rnacentral:rRNA from 1 species
UGGGGAAUUUUGGACAAUGGGGGCAACCCUGAUCCAGCAAUGCCGCGUGUGUGAAGAAGGCCUUCGGGUUGUAAAGCACUUUUGUCCGGAAAGAAAACGCCGUGGUUAAUACCCGUGGCGGAUGACGGUACCGGAAGAAUAAGCACCGGCUAACUACGUGCCAGCAGCCGCGGUAAUACGUAGGGUGCAAGCGUUAAUCGGAAUUACUGGGCGUAAAGCGUGCGCAGGCGGUCCGCUAAGACAGAUGUGAAAUCCCCGGGCUUAACCUGGGAACUGCAUUUGUGACUGGCGGGCUAGAGUAUGGCAGAGGGGGGUAGAAUUCCACGUGUAGCAGUGAAAUGCGUAGAGAUGUGGAGGAAUACCGAUGGCGAAGGCAGCCCCCUGGGCCAAUACUGACGCUCAUGCACGAAAGCGUGGGGAGCAAACAGGAUUAGAUACCCUGGUA